UCCUUGGAGGUGUGACCUCAUGUAGCCUUUUUUUAAAUUCCCAUAUUAAAUGCUUCUGCCCUAGACUGGACUCUGUGGUGGAGUUGGCUGUGAAAGUUUCCAUGCCAUUCACCAGUGGAAUCAAGCCUGUGAGCACCUGUGGUAUUUCCAGCCAGAAAGAAGGAUAAACCAUGAACAACACCAACCAGCCCCCACCUUGGAAUCUUUCCCUUUAAACAAAAUCAACUGGAGCCAGGUUGGCCCGACAUUCUUUGUUAGGAUUCAUGGCAUGAAGGACCAAACAGCCAGAAUGAAGUGGCUUUCCUUGUUCUGAUUGUCCAAGGCAUCUGGCACCUCAUGACCACGCCUUGCUAGCUCCUCCCCUUCCUUCCUAAAGGACUUAUAGAGCACCGGCC